AUUGAACGCUGGCGGCAGGCCUAAAACAUGCAAGUCGAGCGGAGCGGCGGAAGGGUGAGUAAGGACUAGGAAUAUGCCUGGUAGUGGGGGGUAACGUCCGGAAACGGGCGCUAAUACAGCAUACUAUCAGAUGAGCCUAGGUCGGAUUAGCUAGUUGGUGGGGUAAAGGCCUACCAAGGCGACGAUCCGUAACUGGUCGGCGAGGAUGAUCCGUCACACUGGAACUGAGACACGGCCCAAACGCCUACGUGAGGCAGCAUUGGGGAAGAUUGGACAAUGGGCGAAAGCCUGAUCCAGCCAUGCCGCGUGUGUGAAGAAGGUCUUCGGAUUGUAAAGCACUUUAAGUUGGGAGGCGUUACCAACAGAAGAAGCACCGGCUAACUUCGUGCCAGCAGCCGCGGUAAUUC
rnacentral:rRNA from 1 species